rnacentral:rRNA from 1 species
GAUGAACGCUGGCGGCGUGCUUAACACAUGCAAGUCGAACGGUGAAGCAGAGCUUGCUCUGUGGAUCAGUGGCGAACGGGUGAGUAACACGUGAGCAACCUGCCCCUGACGCUGGGAUAAGCGCUGGAAACGGCGUCUAAUACUGGAUAUGAGCUGCGACCGCAUGGUCAGCAGUUGGAAAGAUUUUUCGGUCUGGGAUGGGCUCACGGCCUAUCAGCUUGUUGGUGAGGUAAUGGCUCACCAAGGCGUCGACGGGUAGCCGGCCUGAGAGGGUGACCGGCCACACUGGGACUGAGACACGGCCCAGACUCCUACGGGAGGCAGCAGUGGGGAAUAUUGCACAAUGGGCGAAAGCCUGAUGCAGCAACGCCGCGUGAGGGAUGACGGCCUUCGGGUUGUAAACCUCUUUUAGCAGGGAAGAAGCGAAAGUGACGGUACCUGCAGAAAAAGCGCCGGCUGACUACGUG